AGGACGAACGCUGGCGGCGUGCCUAAUACAUGCAAGUCGAACGGUCUUUCUAUGGAAGCUUGCUUCACUGAGAAGAUAGUGGCGAACGGGUGAGUAACACGUGGGUAACCUGCCCAUAAGAGGGGGGAUAACAUCCGGAAACGGGUGCUAAUACCGCAUAGUUUUCUUGAUCGCAUGAUCGGGAAAGGAAAGACGGCCUUUGUGCUGUCGCUUAUGGAUGGACCCGCGGCGUAUUAGUUAGUUGGUGAGGUAACGGCUCACCAAGACGAUGAUACGUAGCCGACCUGAGAGGGUGAUCGGCCACAUUGGGACUGAGACACGGCCCAAACUCCUACGGGAGGCAGCAGUAGGGAAUCUUCCGCAAUGGACGAAAGUCUGACGGAGCAACGCCGCGUGAGUGAAGAAAGGUUUUCGGAUCGUAAAACUCUGUUGUCAGAGAAGAACAAGUUGGAGAGUAACUGCUCCAGCCUUGACGGUAUCUGACCAGAAAGCCACGGCUAACUACGUGCCAGCCGCUGC
rnacentral:rRNA from 1 species